GACGAACGCUGGCGGCGUGCUUAACACAUGCAAGUCGAACGGGCCUGCUCCUUGUGGGUGGGUUAGUGGCGAACGGGUGAGUAUCACGUGAGUAACCUGCCCCCUGCUCCUGGAUAACGCUCUGAAAGGGGUGCUAAUACGGGGUGUGCUGGUGCUGCCGCAUGGUGGUGCCGGGAUAGGUUCCCCUUUUUUUGGGGUUCUGGUGGGGGAUGGGCUCGCGGCCUAUCAGCUUGUUGGUGGGGUGAUGGCCUACCAAGGCGGUGACGGGUAGCCGGCCUGAGAGGGUGGACGGCCACACUGGGACUGAGACACGGCCCAGACUCCUGCGGGAGGCAGCAGUGGGGGGUAUUGCGCAAUGGGCGGAAGCCUGACGCAGCGACGCCGCGUGAGGGACGGAGGCCUUCGGGUUGUGAACCUCUUUCGCCGGUGGAGAAGGCGCCCCCGUGUGGGGUGCUGACUGUAGCCGGGUUAAGAAGCGCCGGCUAACUACGUGCCAGCAGCCGCGGUAAUACGUAGGGCGCGAGCGUUGUCCGGAGUUACUGGGCGUAAAGGGCUUGUAGGCGGCCGGUCGCGUCCGCCGUGAAAUCCCCUGGCUCAACCGGGGGCGUGCGGUGGGUACGGGCCGGCUUGAGUGCGGUAGGGGAGGCUGGAACUCCCGGUGUAGCGGUGGAAUGCGCAGAUAUCAGGAAGAACACCGGUGGCGAAGGCGGGUCUCUGGGCCGUUACUGACGCUGAGGAGCGAGAGCGUGGGGAGCGAACAGG
rnacentral:rRNA from 1 species